UAAUACGUAGGUGGCAAGCGUUGUCCGGAUUUAUUGGGCGUAAAGCGAGCGCAGGCGGUUCCUUAAGUCUGAUGUGAAAGCCCACGGCUCAACCGUGGAAGGUCAUUGGAAACUGGGGAACUUGAGUGCAGAAGAGGAGAGUGGAAUUCCAUGUGUAGCGGUGAAAUGCGUAGAUAUAUGGAGGAACACCAGUGGCGAAGGCGACUCUCUGGUCUGUAACUGACGCUGAGGCUCGAAAGCGUGGGGAGCAAACAGGAUUAGAUACCCUGGUAGUCCACGCCGUAAACGAUGAGUGCUAAGUGUUGGAGGGUUUCCACCCUUCAGUGCUGCAGCUAACGCAUUAAGCACUCCGCCUGGGGAGUACGGCCGCAAGGCUGAAACUUAAAUGAAUUGACGG
rnacentral:rRNA from 1 species